UGCUCCCUCCAUACGGUUUCUCGACCGCGCUCGUAGCCAGACCUACCAGGUUUUAAUUGGUGUAAAAUGACCAGCAGGAAAUUCGGUGGGCGUCAGCCGACGGGUACUCCGUCCGUCGGUUGGUCGGCCGUCGUCGUCAUCGCGUCGCUGCUUGCUGGCGCCUCCGUCGUCCACAACAUUUUCAAGCCCGAUUUGGCAUAAAUAGACUUACGCACAAGGGCCAUGUAUACCUGGUAGGUGGGUUAGCUUAAGGCCCCCAGUUGAAGGAGCCCUGGAGUUCAUUGCGUUGUCUGUGCAUCAUCUUCCCCAAGGUUCACGAUGAGGGGUAACACAAGGAUUUUACACCAAGAGAUAACUGGAAUUGGAACACGACAUUGAAUACAUGUGCCUCUUGGGUCUCAUGCCAACAUAUCCAAAGCACUUGUAGUUUCCCGUAUGAUCAAAGAAAAUAAGAAGCCAGUCUUGACAUAAGACACUGCGGCCAUGUUGAACCAAUAUUUCGCCAUGAAGGAAUCAGACAUUGCCACCAGUAGAGCAAGUUGAGGAAGGAGAUAAAGCACCCACGAAUUUUAAAGGUCGAUAAUAUUGCAAGCAUGGAAACAGAAGAUAUCUGGACAAGGAUGAUGCUUUAGAAAGAUUUCAAGAUGGCUACCUUUGACUUAUUUUGUAUGUCUCAUUACAGACUGGGAAAUGUAAAUGCAGAAAGCCGGCAGAGGAAAACAAUUACCAUUGGUGAUUUCAUUGUUUUCAUUAUGGAAUCUCUUAAGACAUGCCACAUAUUCUCUCUGCAAACAGCACAUUAUUCUGCAUGGCAUCGCUAAUGGGCCAUUUGGCAACAGUAAUCAUAUGAAACACUCUUUAUAGUAUUUGAAAUCUGUCCCAAUUUCUAGGGCAGAUUCAUGAAA